GCACUCUUACACCCGACGUCCGAUCCC
rnacentral:piRNA from 1 species